AUUGAACGCUGGCGGAAUGCUUUACACAUGCAAGUCGAACGGCAGCACGGACUUCGGUCUGGUGGCGAGUGGCGAACGGGUGAGUAAUACAUCGGAACGUGCCCAAUCGUGGGGGAUAACGUAGCGAAAGCUACGCUCAUACCGCCUACGAUCUAAGGAUGAAAGCGGGGGAUCGCAAGCCCUCGCGCGAUUGGAGCGGCCGAUGGCAGAUUAGGUAGUUGGUCGGGUAAAGGCCUACCAAGCCGACGAUCUGUCGCUGGUCUGAGAGGAUGAUCAGGCACGGUGGGACUGAGAAACGGCCCAGACUCCUACGGGAGGCAGAAGUGGGGAAUUUUAGACAAUGGACGCGAGUCUGAUCCAGCCAGUGCGCGUGCAGGAUGAAGGCCUUCGGGUUGUAAACUGCUUUUGGACGGAACGAAAAGGAUCUGGUUAAUACCGAGGGAUCAUGACGGUACUGUAAGAAUAAGCACCGGCUAACUACGUGCCAGCAGCCGCAGUAA
rnacentral:rRNA from 1 species